rnacentral:rRNA from 1 species
UACAGAGGGGGCAAGCGUUGUUCGGAAUUACUGGGCGUAAAGGGCGCGUAGGCGGCCUGCUAAGUCGAACGUGAAAUCCCCGGGCUCAACCCGGGAACUGCGUCCGAUACUGGCAGGCUUGAAUCCGGGAGAGGGAUGCGGAAUUCCAGGUGUAGCGGUGAAAUGCGUAGAUAUCUGGAGGAACACCAAUGGCGAAGGCAGCCUUCUGGGCCAACACUGACGCUCAUGCACGAAAGCGUGGGGAGCAAACAGG